UUUCUUUGUUUGUUUUGUAUGCCCAAACAUAGAGAUCACAAUACUUGGUACACAAUGGAUUGUUUUUGAGUGUCAAUUUGAGUAGAAAAUUAACUCCAAAUGUCACAAAAUGGCAAGUUACUAAACCUAACAACAAAAGCAAUGAUAAAACAGUGUGAAUACAGCUAAAAGAGCAAAAAAAAAAACCUUAUUAAUUAUUCAUGCCCCAGUGCAUGAUAGGAACACUAGGUUUACUUAAUUUUAUAAUGGUGAUAUUUAAUUUCUACAAGCUUGAACUGAGUUCUAAUAUAGAAUUUACUUUGUUUUUAUGAAUUCUUGCCUGAACUUUUUCAUGUGGAAAUUACAUUUGUUUUCUUCUGUAGUAGCUCAGAAUCAUUUUAUCAGAGUAAUUUUAAAAUACAAAGAUUUGAAUAGUAUUUUCUUGUAAAACGUACUCCAAAUUAUCUUUGUUUUAUUAACAACUCAUUUCAAAACAUUUCAAAAUCAUAUUUUGCAGUGUAGGUGGCGCCAAUGAGGGAAGAAACGAAGCUUUUCAAAGCUUCGAAUCAAUUGAACCACUGAAUUGCUUCGCAAAAUGAUUCACUGUUUCGAUGCGUUCGAAACGCCACACGCUAGUGACCCCUGCUGGUCAGAACAGUGUAAAUGCACAAAAAACUCAGGCCAAACAUUCAUAAAAUUUACUAUUAGGCUAUUCCUUUUAACUACACUAAUGUCUAAUUAAACGUCUACAAAUGUAUAAAAUCACAGCUUAAGUGAAUUAAGUGUAAUAUUUGUGUAUAUUCAAAUACACAGAUGUUUCAGACGCAUUUUCAUUCAAUAUUGCUUAGUGUCUGUUUGUACAGGAAUAAAGUUCAACAUAAGCAUAUGCUGUUUAAACACCAAGCUUUUACUGUUAUAAAAAUACAGAUUUGUGAGCAUUAGUGGAACUGAAGGUUUCAGACAUAGACAUAAUAAUAAAUACAUUUUUUAUGUCUAUGGUUUCAGAAUAAACACGCAACACGUGAUUGUUGUCAGGUGGUGAAUCCGGCCAAUCGUGAAACAGCUGUGUCGUCAUCAGAGCCAGUGCAGCCAAAUGCAAAUUUUCUAAUUGAAAACCUCUUUUUUUUAAGAUUUAAACAUGAGAUGAAAAUGUAUUUUGAAUCUAUUGAGUUCUCUAAAAUGCCAAACGUCACAGUCAUGUGGCUUCCGCGCUGUCUCAAGUCGGACAACAUUUUUAACCGGCAUGCACUGCUUCAAGUCUGAUGUCGAUCGGUCUGUGUGAAGUCGGACAAGCCUACACACUCCGAACCACUGAAUGUAAACAAACGAUUCCCAAAAGUUUCGAAGCUUCAUGAAGCAGUGGCUGCAUCCGGAAACUGAAAAAUGCAAGUCGUCUCGUAUAAUAUCUCUGGCUGAGGGUGCGGCUCAGAAACGGAUCUCUGACGAACAAUCAGAGGACUGUAAUAACUUCAAGGAUCAUAUCUCUUCACGCAACUGUACAACAAGAUGAAGAGCGCACUUAUACUUGUUCUUUCCUCAUUAUUCGCGAUCGGUGUGUUUGGUGAGUCAGUGUCAGUGAAGGAGGGAGGGUCACACACUUUACAGACUGGCAUUACAAUACAGGGUAGUGAUGAGAUAGAGUGGAGGUUAAAUGAAAUGCUUAUAUUUAGAAUCAGUAGUGUAGCCGGUAAGAUCACAGUAUUAGAUUCUACCGACGGGGCAUUCGGAGGCAGGCUGAAUGUGGACAAACAGACUGGAGAUCUCAAGAUCACAAACAUCAAAACCACAGAGUCUGGACAAUAUACACUAAAGAUCAGCAGCACCAAAGGGUCCUCAGACAAGAUAUUCACUGUCAAUGUUGUUCCAGGUCCAGAUCCAGGUCCAGGUCCAGGUCCAGAUCCAGGUCCAGAUCCAGGUCCAGAUCCAGGUCCAGAUCCAGGUCCAGAUCCAGGUCCAGAUCCAGAUCGAGGUCUGUCUUCAGGAGCGAUAGCAGGGAUAGUUAUUGCUGUUCUUGCAGCGGUGGCUGCAGCUGUUGGUGGGAUUUACUAUGGCUACGGGAAAAAGGGACAAAUGUUAUGAGCUUCUGUGACAGAUAUUAACUGUCUCUGAUUCCACUACAUAGAGAAGAAAUGAGCCAGAGGACACAGACCUGCCUUUGGUGAAGGAAAGCUCUUCCAACAGCUUUAUUAUGAAAAUAAUGUAACAGAUUUCUCCUCGUGAACCUCUAAAAUCCUGUGUAUGCCAAUGAAUCUAAUCUAAAUCUCACAUUUCAUUCCUUUCACUCAUUCUGAAUUCUGGAUAGUCCACUUUACACCAUUCUUCAAUUAUUAGCCAAAAUAUCUGAUGAAAAAAGUCAUGUAUAGACUAAAUAAAAAAUAAAAUUAAAAAAAGUGACACUUUUAGAAAUUGUAAAAGUUUGUUUGUGCCACACUGACUGUUUUGCUCUGUGUACAAAGUUUGAUGUGAUUGCAGGAAGUAUCUGCAUAUUUAUUUCUAUUUGCUUACCUUAUAAUAUAAACUGUGCCUUAUUUUUAUGUCAAACAACAUAACUGCACUUAAUUUCACCUAUUUCGUGUUAUCUGCAAUAAAUCUGAACAUCUAGCUCUGAUUGUGAAUGUAAAUGUAAACCGUCUGAUUCAGGUGAUGAUUAUUUGUUGUAUAAGCUUAUUGUUAAUUUGUUUUUAGUUAUUUUAUUAGAGAAGGUUUAGCUUGGAAUUAUUUGUAUUUGAUGUUUCAAGCUUAAUGCAGAACAUUUGCUUCACUAAAUAAAAUAGUGAGGAAAAAAUUUUUCUAAAACUAUA